GUACACGCUGUGACUAGCAUAUCAAUAAGCGGAGGAAAAGAAACUAACUAGGAUUCCCUCAGUAACGGCGAGUGAAGCGGGAAGAGCUCAAAUUUGAAAUCUUCAAGGUUCUACCUUGACGAAUUGUAGUUUAAAGAAGUGUUUUCUGUUGGAGUUUUGGUAAAAGUUCUUUGGAAUAGGACAUCAUAGAGGGUGAGAAUCCCGUAUUUGACCAUUAUUUCCAGCUUUGUGAUACACUUUCAAAGAGUCGGAUUGUUUGGGAAUGCAGUCCAAAAUGGGUAGGUAAAUUUCAUCUAAGGCUAAAUACUGGCGAGAGACCGAUAGCGAACAAGUACCGUGAGGGAAAGAUGAAAAGAACUUUGAAAAGAGAGUUAAACAGUACGUGAAAUUGUCAAAAGGGAAGCGUUUGACACCAGUGUUGUUUUCUCGAAAAUCAAUUAAAAAAGGCAGGAUUUUGUGUUGUAUUGACUUUAUCAGCUUUCUGCACUCUUUUCUUGUCUUUUUUAAUGCACUUUUCGUUUAACAAGUCAACAUCAAUUUCUUUUGUUGUAAAAGGGUCAUUGGAAGGUGGCUUUCUUUUCGGAGAAAGUGUUUAUAGCCUUUGGCCUCUGCAAUCGGAGAGAUUGAGGUCUGCAGCGUAGAUCCUUCGGGGUUAGAUACAUUUGUGCUAAGUUAUAGCCUUUCAUAGACAACUUGUUGACUAUGAUCAGUCAUGUAGCUUACUCGCUUAUGCUAUUUUACCUACGCUUAGGAUGUUGAAGACUCUACAGAGAUA
rnacentral:rRNA from 1 species